CACCAGGCCAGCUGCCUUAUGCAGGGUCUCAGGGCAGCGUACCCGGAGGGCACAAACAGGCCACAGGGCCCCAGCCUCCUCUCAGGAGGCAUGUAACAUCUCUUCCGCUGCAUUCCAGGGUAAAAGUGAGCCACACCUGCCCAGAUGCAAGAGGAGGGAAAGGAGAUUCCAUCUCUUGAUGGGACAAAUGACAAAGUCACACUGCAAAGGCAUGCGCACCAGGAUGCAAGGAACUAUGGCCGUGUUAUAAUCCACCCACUGAGGAAGCUCUUAGCAAGUCAGGGGAGGAGACCACUGCGUGCUGUGUGUGGAGAGAGAGGUUCAAGGAAUGGCUGUUCAGCAGAGGUCACGCACUCAGGACAGGAAGAGGAGGUGGGGACGUGGCUGAGGAGCAGGUGCCCCUCUUCAGGGGCAAUGGCAUUGCUCCCCCUUCUGGGAGCCCGCGCCCCUCCAGGCCCGCAGAGCCGGGGCAGACGCCUUUCUCCCCGCAGCCUCAGAAACGCGGGAUUCGGGAGCUCAAGGGUCCCCUUCCCACAGCAACGGUGUGACUGCUCUGAGCACCCGCUUCCUCCAGCCACAGGGGCCCUGAUGUCGAGAGCAUUGUCACCUGCCUGCUGUGCGGUGGCGGCCACGCGCACUGAUGGCACAGCUGUUGGAGGGUCAGGGGUUUGAACCCAGGUCUGCUGGCUCUGAGGCCUCCACCGCCUCCCCCCUCCUGCUCCCUGGGAACUUGGGAGGAAUCAGGACAGGAAAGGUGGGCAGAGAAACAAGCAGGAGCGGAUGCCCACCCAUCAGGCUUUGGGUUCCACCCACUCCUCUUGUAUUUGCAUAUAUUUGCAUGCAUCCCUCCAGGGGCUGCAAGAAUAGGCCAUAAUCAAUUAAUUAGUGCAACCACCAGUGGGCACUUAGCAGCAGGAUGCCCUUCAUCAAGGUGAAAAGUGACAAAGAUUUUGAAAAUGACCCAUCUCAUCUCUUCCUAGUUCAGCAGAGCCCACCCUGGAUGAGUUGGAGCCCUCUCAUCAGCCCCUUCUGGUCAGGAGCGAGGCACUCAAGGGGCAGGGCCUCCCACGCUCAAUUUUCUGAAAGAACGAAUUAGAUAUAGAUGAUAUCGACAAUAUAAACAUAGAUAUGGAUGCAGAUACAGAUGCAGGUGUAGGUAUAGAUAUAGAUAUAGGUACAGGUACAGGCACAGAUACAGAUACGGAUAUGGGCAAAGAUGUAGAUAGAGACAGAUGCAGAGAUACAGAUAGAUACAGAUAAAACCAGGGUGUGAGUAACAGGAUGCAUGAGGGGCCUCUGUUCUCUGCAAAUACACGGGGCAGAACCUUCUCCCAGCCCAGGGCUCGUGGGUGCUCAGGCACCCACAGGGUGAGAGGACUUCCCGGGGCAGAGCGAGGGCAGGCGGUCUAUCCCAGGUCACACAUAAACCUCUGAGGGGCAGCGGGUGCCACUCCAGACGGGCUGCUCUGACGCCCCCUCCAGAGUCCACCCAUAAUGCCCCGUCCCUGAGGGACCAGGGCGGAAGGGCAGACCGGGAUCUGGGGCACAUGAGACCCAAAUGAAGUAAUGUGGGAGUUCUUUAAACUGCCCAGCCCCCUUCACAGGUACAGGAGGGACCAGGACUGCUCGCUGCAGAGGCCAGCCACCCACAGGGCGGGGGGCGUCUGUCCGUACGCUGGAGAAGGACUGGAUGGCAGGGUUGAGCCAGCCUGGAUGCACAAGUGAACACAUGCACUAAAGAGGAGCGUGUGGACUGGUGGGCCAGUAAAUCUGCAUCUGUCUCAAUGGGGGCAUGGAUCCUGACUGGACGGUGGAGUGAACAAGAGAACGAGAAGGAAUGACCCUGAGGACAGAAGAGAGAGGGAAGCCUGCGGGACAAGCUGGAGGUCUCCCCCGCUGUCUCAUUCAGUCUGUGCUACUGCCCUGUGGGAGAGCUCCAUCCUCAACCUCGCCUCAUCCCCGAGGGAGGUGAGGCACAGAGAGGUUAGGUAACUUGCCCCAUGUCACACAGCUCAUGAGGGCAGAACUGAGAUGGCAGCCCCCACACUUGGCCCCAUGACGCGCCUCAGGCUGCCUUCCCAAAUCUGCCAUGGACCCACCACAGCCCAGGUUCAUCAGGAGACUUGGUCUCCUUUACUCCCCAGUUGACAUUAGAAGUGAACAUAAUAAAAUCCAGUUCUUAAGUCA
rnacentral:lncRNA from 1 species